UACGUAGGGGGCAAGCGUUGUCCGGAAUCAUUGGGCGUAAAGCGUGCGCAGGCGGUCUGUUAAGACCGAUGUGAAAUCCCCGGGCUUAACCUGGGAACUGCAUUGGUGACUGGCAGGCUUUGAGUGUGGCAGAGGGAGGUAGAAUUCCACGUGUAGCAGUGAAAUGCGUAGAGAUGUGGAGGAAUACCGAUGGCGAAGGCAGCCUCCUGGGCCAACACUGACGCUCAUGCACGAAAGCGUGGGGAGCAAACAGG
rnacentral:rRNA from 1 species